rnacentral:rRNA from 2 species
CGGGAUUUAGUAGACAGAAGCUUCGGUGGAAGAUUACUAAUGAGAGCGGCGAACGGGUGAGUAACGCGUGAGCAACCUGCCUAUGACAGUGGGAUAGCCUCGGGAAACCGGGAUUAAUACCGCAUAAAAUCGUAGAAACACAUGCUUUAGCGGUCAAAGAUUUAUCGGUCAUAGAUGGGCUCGCGUCUGAUUAGCUAGUUGGUGAGAUAACAGCCCACCAAGGCGACGAUCAGUAGCCGGUCUGAGAGGAUGAACGGCCACAUUGGAACUGAGACACGGUCCAAACUCCUACGGGAGGCAGCAGUGGGGAAUAUUGCACAAUGGGGGAAACCCUGAUGCAGCGACGCCGCGUGAACGAAGAAGGUAUUCGUAUCGUAAAGUUCUGUCCUAUGGGAAGAUAAUGACAGUACCAUAGAAGAAAGCUCCGGCUAAAUACGUGCCAGCAGCCGCGGUAAUACGUAUGGAGCGAGCGUUGUCCGGAAUUAUUGGGCGUAAAGGGUACGCAGGCGGUUUAAUAAGUCGAAUGUUAAAGAUCGGGGCUCAACCCCGUAAAGCAUUGGAAACUGAUAAACUUGAGUAGUGGAGAGGAAAGUGGAAUUCCUAGUGUAGUGGUGAAAUACGUAGAUAUUAGGAGGAAUACCAGUAGCGAAGGCGACUUUCUGGACACAAACUGACGCUGAGGUACGAAAGCGUGG